rnacentral:rRNA from 1 species
UGUAAGCGUAUACCAAAGUUGUUGCAGUUAAAACGCUCGUAGUCGGACUUUGGCAGUUCCGGAUGUGUGCACGUCGUGUGCGCACUUCGCGGGGAUUGCUUUUGUGGUCUUGCGUAGGAUGAGGCACUUUUAUUAGUGAACGUCCUCACGCAACCACUUUUUACUGCGAGAAAAUCAGAGUGCUCAAAGCAGGCAUUUGCCGUGAAUGUAUUAGCAUGGAAUAAUAGAAUAGGACUUGGUUCUAUUUUGUUGGUUUGUUGGGACUGAGUAAUGAUUAAGAGGGACAGUUGGGGGCAUUUGUAUUUCGGUGCUAGAGGUGAAAUUCUUAGAUUACCGAAAGACAAACUGCUGCGAAAGCGUCUGCCAAGGAUGUUUUCAUUGA